rnacentral:rRNA from 1 species
GAUGAACGCUGGCGGCGUGCCUAAUACAUGCAAGUCGAGCGAACAGACGAGGAGCUUGCUCCUCUGACGUUAGCGGCGGACGGGUGAGUAACACGUGGAUAACCUACCUAUAAGACUGGGAUAACUUCGGGAAACCGGAGCUAAUACCGGAUAAUAUAUUGAACCGCAUGGUUCAAUAGUGAAAGACGGUUUUGCUGUCACUUAUAGCUGGAUCCGCGCCGCAUUAGCUAGUUGGUAAGGUAACGGCUUACCAAGGCAACGAUGCGUAGCCGACCUGAGAGGGUGAUCGGCCACACUGGAACUGAGACACGGUCCAGACGCCUACGGGAGGCAGCAGUAGGGAAUCUUCCGCAAUGGGCGAAAGCUUGACGGAGCAACGCCGCGUGAGUGAUGAAGGUCUUCGGAUCGUAAAACUCUGUUAUUAGGGAAGAACAAAUGUGUAAGUAACUAUGCACGUCUUGACGGUACCGAAUCAGAAAGCCACGGCUAACUACGUG